rnacentral:rRNA from 1 species
AUUGAACGCUGGCGGCAGGCCUAACACAUGCAAGUCGAACGAGUGGCGGACGGGUGAGUAAUGUAUGGGAAACUGCCCGAUGGAGGGGUAUAACUACUGGAAACGGUAGCUAAUACCGCAUACCCUCGGAUGUGCCCUGAUGGGAUGAGCUAGUAGGUGGGGUAACGGCUCACCUAGGCGACGAUCCCUAGCUGGUCUGAGAGGAUGACCGGCAACACUGGAACUGAGACACGGUCCAGACUCCUACGGGAGGCAGCAGUGGGGAAUAUUGGACAAUGGGCGCAAGCCUGACGCAGCCAUGCCGCGUGCAUGAAGAAGGCCUUCGGGUUGUAAAGUACUUUCAGCGAGGAGGCGUUACUCGCAGAAGAAGCAACGGCUAACUCCGUGCCAGCAGCCGCGGUAAUAC